AGCCAGACUCCUACGGGAGGCAGCAGUGGGGGAUAUUGCACAAUGGGGGAAACCCUGAUGCAGCGACGCCGCGUGUGGGAAGACGGUCCUCUGGAUUGUAAACCACUGUCCCCAGGGACGAAGAUGACGGUACCUGGGGAGGAAGCUCCGGCUAACUACGUGCCAGCAGCCGCGGUAAUACGUAGGGAGCGAGCGUUGUCCGGAUUCACUGGGUGUAAAGGGAGCGUAGACGGCCAUGCAAGCCAGGGGUGAAAGCCCGGGGCCCAACCCCGGGACUGCCCUUGGAACUGCAUGGCUGGAGUGCGGGAGGGGCAGGCGGAAUUCCUGGUGUAGCGGUGAAAUGCGUAGAUAUCAGGAGGAACACCGGCGGCGAAGGCGGCCUGCUGGACCGUGACUGACGUUGAGGCUCGAGAGCGUGGGGAGCAAACAGGAUUAGAUACCCCUGUA
rnacentral:rRNA from 1 species